rnacentral:rRNA from 1 species
GACGAACGCUGGCGGCGUGCUUAACACAUGCAAGUCGAACGGAAAGGCCCUGCUUUUGUGGGGUGCUCGAGUGGCGAACGGGUGAGUAACACGUGAGUAACCUGCCCUUGACUUUGGGAUAACUUCAGGAAACUGGGGCUAAUACCGGAUAGGAGCUCCUGCUGCGUGGUGGGGGUUGGAAAGUUUCGGCGGUUGGGGAUGGACUCGCGGCUUAUCAGCUUGUUGGUGGGGUAGUGGCUUACCAAGGCUUUGACGGGUAGCCGGCCUGAGAGGGUGACCGGCCACAUUGGGACUGAGAUACGGCCCAGACUCCUACGGGAGGCAGCAGUGGGGAAUAUUGCACAAUGGGCGGAAGCCUGAUGCAGCAACGCCGCGUGCGGGAUGACGGCCUUCGGGUUGUAAACCGCUUUCGCCUGUGACGAAGCGUGAGUGACGGUAAUGGGUAAAGAAGCACCGGCUAACUACGUGCCAGCAGCCGCGGUGAUACGUAGGGUGCGAGCGUUGUCCGGAUUUAUUGGGCGUAAAGGGCUCGUAGGUGGUUGAUCGCGUCGGAAGUGUAAUCUUGGGGCUUAACCCUGAGCGUGCUUUCGAUACGGGUUGACUUGAGGAAGGUAGGGGAGAAUGGAAUUCCUGGUGGAGCGGUGGAAUGCGCAGAUAUCAGGAGGAACACCAGUGGCGAAGGCGGUUCUCUGGGCCUUUCCUGACGCUGAGGAGCGAAAGCGUGGGGAGCGAACAGGCUUAGAUACCCUGGUAGUCCACGCUGUAAACGGUGGGUACUAGGUGUGGGGUCCAUUCCACGGGUUCCGUGCCGUAGCUAACGCUUUAAGUACCCCGCCUGGGGAGUACGGCCGCAAGGCUAAAACUCAAAGGAAUUGACGGGGCCCCGCACAAGCGGCGGAGCAUGCGGAUUAAUUCGAUGCAACGCGUAGAACCUUACCUGGGUUUGACAUGGAUCGGGAGUGCUCAGAGAUGGGUGUGCCUCUUUUGGGGUCGGUUCGCAGGUGGUGCAUGGCUGUCGUCAGCUCGUGUCGUGAGAUGUUGGGUUAAGUCCCGCAACGAGCGCAACCCUUGUUCACUGUUGCCAGCACGUUAUGGUGGGGACUCAGUGGAGACCGCCGGGGUCAACUCGGAGGAAGGUGGGGAUGACGUCAAGUCAUCAUGCCCCUUAUGUCCAGGGCUUCACGCAUGCUACAAUGGCUGGUACAGAGAGUGGCGAGCCUGUGAGGGUGAGCGAAUCUCGGAAAGCCGGUCUCAGUUCGGAUUGGGGUCUGCAACCCGACCUCAUGAAGUCGGAGUCGCUAGUAAUCGCAGAUCAGCAACGCUGCGGUGAAUACGUUCCCGGG